rnacentral:rRNA from 1 species
GAUGAACGCGGCGGCGUGCUUAACACAUGCAAGUCGAACGAUGAAGCCCAGCUUGCUGGGUGGAUUAGUGGCGAACGGGUGAGUAACACGUGAGUAACCUGCCCUUGACUCUGGGAUAAGCCCGGGAAACUGGGUCUAAUACCGGAUAGGAGCGCCUGUCGCAUGACGGGUGUUGGAAAGAUUUUUCGGUCAUGGAUGGACUCGCGGCCUAUCAGCUUGUUGGUGAGGUAAUGGCUCACCAAGGCGACGACGGGUAGCCGGCCUGAGAGGGUGACCGGCCACACUGGGACUGAGACACGGCCCAGACUCCUACGGGAGGCAGCAGUGGGGAAUAUUGCACAAUGGGCGGAAGCCUGAUGCAGCGACGCCGCGUGAGGGAUGACGGCCUUCGGGUUGUAAACCUCUUUCAGUAGGGAAGAAGCGAAAGUGACGUACCUGCAGAGAG